GCAGCGCCUUGGCGCGGCCGAUGCCGGUGACGGUGGAGCCGUUGUACGUCGGCGAGUUGUAGCUGACGCCGUUGAUCGUCUUCGCGCCGCUGCCC
rnacentral:tRNA from 1 species